GGGAAUAUUGCACAAUGGGGGAAACCCUGAUGCAGCGACGCCGCGUGAGUGAAGAAGCGCCUCGGCGCGUAAAGCUCUGUCAGCAGGAACGACGAUGACGGUACCUGAAGAAGAAGCCCCGGCUAACUACGUGCCAGCAGCCGCGGUAAUACGUAGGGGGCGAGCGUUAUCCGGAUUCAUUGGGCGUAAAGCGCGCGUAGGCGGCCGCCUAAGCGGAACCUCUAACCCCGGGGCUCAACCUCGGGCCGGGUUCCGGACUGGGCGGCUCGAGUGCGGUAGAGGAGAGCGGAAUUCCCGGUGUAGCGGUGGAAUGCGCAGAUAUCGGGAAGAACACCGAUGGCGAAGGCAGCUCUCUGGGCCGUCACUGACGCUGAGGCGCGAAAGCUGGGGGAGCGAACAG
rnacentral:rRNA from 1 species